UACGUAGGGGGCAAGCGUUGUCCGGAUUUAUUGGGCGUAAAGAGCGUGUAGGCGGCUAGAUAGGUCCGUUGUGAAAACUCGAGGCUCAACCUCGAGACGUCGAUGGAAACCAUCUGGCUAGAGUCCUGAAGAGGAGAGUGGAAUUCCUGGUGUAGCGGUGAAAUGCGCAGAUAUCAGGAAGAACACCAACGGCGAAGGCAGCUCGCUGGGACGGUACUGACGCUGAGACGCGAAAGCGUGGGGAGCGAACAGG
rnacentral:rRNA from 1 species